ACAAACGUGGCACAAGCGUGACAUGCCAUCAGGAUUUGACGUGCCCGAUCCAUUUCGGAGUUCUCCCAACCACGAUCAGAUUGUUCCAAAUGCUGUUAUGAUGCCGUAUGAAUAUGGAGAUUGCAGUGGGAUUGUGCUCAGACUGCACAUUGACUGCUGUUCGAUAGGUGCCCCACGAAUGUUCGAGGCAGCUGUGCGAAUGGGCCUGCUCUGAGACUGCUGUCCGACAUUUUCAGAAUACACAGACAUUUUUCGGAUGUGGGUCAAUUUGUCAUUCGGACGCCAUUCAGCUCCAUUCGUGCUAUAUGUGAUGGGGGUCUAAGUGUCUCCAGGCUGACA